CAUAUAACAAACAAACUCCUUAAAAUGCCCCUGUUAACACAAUAUAGCAUAGCAAUGAUUUGUUAAACGUUAUUUUUUGAAAGUUUCGCUCUGACUUGCGUAGUGAGAGCAGUCCAUAUCUAAAAGUAUGAAGGGCCGAUAUUCCCGCUUCAGGAGGAAAUCGCCUAAGAAGCCGCUACCUUGGUGGACAGUCAAUCGCAAAACUUUCAUAUUUGCAACCCAAGUCUCGGAAGUCACAAGAGCUUGCCGCCUAGCUAAGACAAGGAUCAUAAAUUCCAAUCUCUUAGACCAUGGGGAUGUCGAAAACACAUUGGAGGAGGUUAGCAAUUUGCCUUAUCAGAAUGCGGUUGAGGCCAUCGAAUUCUCUCACCCCUCGAUCAUGACAAAUGGGACCUAACUUAUAUAUACGUUCCCAAAGGUUCCCGAAUCGGCUUAUGCAGCUACAUCCCGCAAUCUACGAAGCGAAGCAGGUAAUGCUGCAACAUCGAAAGUUGGGGAUAAGCCCCAGUGCAACUUACGCAUUACUGGCCGGUUGUCUGUCCAUUGGCAACACCACUUCUACUGCUACUGCUAAAGGAAGACGCAUUCUCCGCCUUUUGAAGGGAUACCACUCUGCUUGUUCCUACCAAAGAAAUAAUCGACAACUAAUUGAAGCAGUCGACGAAGGAACGCUGUUCCUGACCAACUUUAAUGGAAUUCUGGAAGCUGCCUCUGGUUGGGUCUUUUGUCGUCGAAUAUGACAACGAGGCCGUAACAGUUGGUUGCCGAAAUUACACGAGCUACUCCACCAGUCACCUCAUGGCAUUGCCGGCUGUCCUUACACAAGUAGCCACCGACGAUUACCGGCUAUCUUUGAUGUAAGUGCCUGACGUCAGUUUUAAGAACUUGGAAAAGAUGUCGGAGGUGACCGAGGAGUUGUUGGCUUCAUCCCUACGGAGGCAGCAUUGGCUGUGCUCAUCUCUUAUCUCUUGUAUUUCCUGUGCAGGAAAUUGACCUCUACCCAUGGACUACAGAAACUCGGCAACAUAACCGUGAUCCCUUAUCCGCCCCAUACCACCGGGCAGACCAAGGCUACUUAAUCUGCGUGGCGCAGUUUUUUAAGGGGGAGGAGUUAACAAGCAACACUUGCUUCCACCUCCUGACGCUGCGGUCGAGCUCUGCAGCGUACCGCUGACGAUGUAGCAUAGGCUGCGAGUGUGACUGCGCUGACACUGUGGGGCUUGGCUUAGCGUAGCUUACGAGCGGCCGGCAAAACGCUGGCCAGGUAGUCGAAUUUCAGCAGCGGAACUUAGCUAAUCUUUAAAUCUAACUUUGUACUUAAAUUAAAUAAAACUAAGAAUCUGAGCAAGUCG
ensembl:ncRNA lncRNA:CR43941 long non-coding RNA:CR43941